rnacentral:lncRNA from 1 species
AUCCAAAGCUCGCUGAUGAUUGGUCGCUUAUGAGUAGUUGGAAGUAUGGUAUUGGAUGGACCAUAUCGACAUUAUUGAAAAGAUUAUAAUAAGAGUAAGUUGUCAUAUGGCAAAUAUGGAAAUGGUUCCAUAUUGGGAGUUGGAUAUUGAGAGUCUAUGUCUAGAUUAGAAAUUUUAUGCAAAAGGAUGUUCAAAGGAAUGUACUUUGAGUGAGAGACAUCACAUCUAUGGAAUUGUAUUGUAACAAUCUCGUAUAGAGGACUUUGUAAUUGCAUUUGCAAUAGUCAUUGUGACUUUUGUGCUAUGGCAUUACGAAAGGAUCAUUGCAUAAAAUGUUAGAAUCUGGCAUAUUCUAUAAGUGGCAAGAAUUUGAUAUUCUUUCACUUGUGAAAAGGAUUGGGAAUUGUGAAAUGAGUAUGAUUGGAAAUGUGUUCAUUUGAUCNAGAAUCUAGCAUAUUCUAUAAGUGGCAAGAAUUUGAUAUUCUUUCACUUGUGAAAAGGAUUGGGAAUUGUGAAAUGAGUAUGAUUGGAAAUGUGUUCAUUUGAUCUAUUUCACAAAGUAAGAACCAUAGGUAAGCAUUGUGUGCAUGCUAAGAGCAUGGGACAAGUGUUGUAAUAAUUCAAGUAAGAAGUUGAUUACCCGAAACAACAGAUAAUGAGUAAUCGAUAUGGUGAUAAAUAAAAGGUGUUUUAUUUAUACUCAAAGGUUUGAGGCCAUAUGGGAUUAGUAUUAUUCUUGUGUUUCACUUUGCAUGUUUUGACUUCCUGAAUAAUUUAAUUAGUUAAGAACAAUCAAAUUAUUCGAAUGGGCCACAAUCGUUCAUAUGUUGGAAGUAGAUAUGAAUGAAGACUGUCGUGAAUUGGUGUGUGGAUUGUCUAAAGAGUAUUAGACAUAAGCAAAUGUUUGUUGCAAUGUUCAUGAGUGCUUAUUAAUAUGAUUUGAGCAUUGGAUUAAACCCACGCUCACUUGGAUCACUUCAUGAAUUGUAUCACGAGUGACUGGUGAGACGAUAACAUCUUAUAUUC